ensembl:lncRNA
AUGGCUCCCUCAGGUACACUAUACACACCUAUAUAUGACAUCCCUACACUCAAGGCCCUGUGCCGUUUGUUAAUAGAGUUGGCACCGUCUUAUCCAAUGUCAGAAACUGUGUGUCUCCUUUCCCUGGCUGUUCGGUUUCCCAGCAAAAGCUUUUCCCUAUUAAGGAAAAACAUGGGUCUGAGACAUCAUGACCCCUUUGUUGUCCCAGAGAAGGACCCAAGCCCUGAAGCUUGGUGUCCUCAAGCCUCUCCCAGGAGACAGGAGCAGAGAGGCUGGAAGAGGGGAGGGGAUGUGUCCAUCCCAAAUGCACCAAUCAGCUCUUUCUUUCAUGGACUGAAAGAAAUCAGUUAUCAGUCAGAUACGUGUAUUUCCUCUCCUUCCUGGGAGAGGCGUUUCUUCAUCCCACUAAGCUGUUUGCUUAAAUAUUCAUCAAGCCCUUUCCCACCGUCAAUAAAUAAGCUCCACGAACUCUUGCCACUGCUAAUGGAUCUCUCUGCCCGACUCUCUCCUCAUCCCUUCCACUCUUCCGUUCACCUUGUCUUCCCAGAGAAUAACUGUGAUGGUAAAGGCUGUGAGUGGUUCAGUUUCCAGGGCAUGCUUUCCGCCUCCCCUUUUGAAGAUGAACUUGAAGACACUAAGUCAGGUUCCUGGAGCACUCCUCCACUCACUACAAGUUUUCAGAAGGGCAUCCAUAAAGAUUAUCCCUCCUCCUCACCCAAGUUUUGAAGCAACUGAGAAGUGAGAUUUUAGAAAUGGCAAGUGGAGGGGACUUCCCUGGCANNNNNNNNNNNNNNNNNNNNNNNNNNNNNNNNNNNNNNNCAGGUUUGAUCCCUGGUCAGGGAACUAAGAUCCCACAUGCCACAUGGCACACACUCCCCUCCCUCCAAAAUAAAAAUGUCAGAUGGAGGUGGAUUUUUUUUAAAUAAAGUUGAUAUUGGAGAAUAUGACUUACAUUUUGGGGAAGGUGACUUUCUGUAUACUAAGCCUCAAGCUUGGAAAGGCUUAAUCACCCAGUUGUAGUCGGAUUCACUGGGUAGGCUCUCUAUUCAAAGGACUGGACACGAUGCUUGCUUCCUGUAGGCAGUAUGUUCUGUGUCUAGAAAGCACUUCCCCAUAUUGUUAUAUAGAUGGCUUUCCAGUCACUUGCAUCUGAGUGACUUUUGAGUGUGGCCUUUUCUGACUUCCUGGCCACCAUCACAUUCCCUGUGUGGCAGUUCUAAAUCAUGUCUAUAAACUGCAACACUCUUCUUAUCCUGAGAUGGGCCCUAAGUUCUUCUUCCUUGAAUCUGGGCCAGCCUUGAAGAUGUUGUUAAAACCUAUAGGACGCAGCAGAAAUGAUGGCAUAGCUCACAUACUUUCUGAAGUCAAGUCAUUAAAUAAAGGCCAUGGCGUUUCUGCCUUGCCUGCUGAGAUGCUUGCUUUUGGAGCUGUGAGCCUGUGUAGGUGAAGGUCAGCUGCCUUGAGGCCACCAUGCUGGAGGAAGCCCAAACCACAGAGCAGGUGCCCCAAUCGGUGUCCACAGCCCAGGUCCCGGGUGACAGUCAGCAUCAGCCACCAGAGACGUACGCUAGGUGCCUGCAGCCUGCAGAAGUCAUGUGCCCCAGUCUCAGAAUCUUCUCGGAUGGAGCCCUAGGAGUCGUGACAGAAGCGAUGUAUGUCUGCUGUGCCCUGCAAACUUCUAAAUCACCCAGUCCCUGAACAUAGUUAAAUGGUCUGUUUGAUGCCAUUAGCUUCUGGAGCAGUUUGGUAUGACAUAUUUGGAGGAGGAGAUAGAAUGGCAUAAUAAUAACUGGGACGCUCUGUUUUCUACUUUUCAUAGCACUGUUUAUCACUGUCAGAAAUCACCUUGUUUAUUUAUUGGUGUAUUUACUGGUCCCUGUCACUCCUCUUCACGUGUAGGUUAGCUCCGCUAGUGCAGGGCUGUGUGUGUCUUAGACCUGGGACAGCAAUGGCCCAGUAAUGGCCCUGGGAGGCGGUCAAUAAAUAUUUGUUGAAAGGAUGAACAAACGAACAUCUUUCCCCUUGCAGAACAGAAAGAAGAGCUUCUGGGAGAGUAUUUCAGUCAUUUUAUUCUUGAUCUCUAGGCCCUGGGCAACAAAACUGAGGCCAUUUGUGUGAAAUAGAAAAUAGACAGUUUUAUAAUAUCUGAGCAAACUGUCCUGUAGAACAUUCAGUUCUUCAUUCAAUGAUAUGGGCUCAGCAGCUGCCCUUACCCCAAAAGCAAGGCAUUGUAAUUCCCACUAGAGACACAGAGGUGGAUAAGACACAGACUGCCCCUGUCCGGGACAGCCCUCAGGGAGGGGCAUGGACGAACUGAAGGGUGGAGAGGCCUCUCGAGGAGAACACAGGCUCAAAGGCAAAGCCUUUCCAAGCUUGAAAGGCAGGGGCAGUGACUGCCACUCACACAUCGCCUCCCCCCGAGACCCUGCUCAGAGCCCACCCAUGCAGGUGCCGUAAGUAUGUGUUGACUCUUGAGUGGAGGAAACAGAGGGUGUUCCAAGCUGGGCAAACGGCAAAGGUUCAUAUCAGCAGAGAAGCCUAAGUGCCUUUGCGAAAAGAAACUCUUGUUAAAUGUGUAAGGAACAUCUCGUGCUCCACUGGUCUUGCUCUGCCAUCAUAAAAAGUCAUUACUGAAGCCGUGUCAUACAGAGUGCAGUAAGUCAGAAAGAGAACAAAUAUCAUAUGUGCAUGUAUAUAUGUGGAUUCUAGAAAAUGGUACUGAUGAACCGACUUGCAAAGCAGAAAUAGAGACACAGACAUAGAGAGCAAACAUAUGGGCAUGGAGGGAGGGAAGAGACUGAGGUGAACUGGAAGGUUGGGGUUGACAUAUACAUGUACUGCGAAACUAUGUGUGAAAUAGAUCACUAAUGAGAGCCCACUGUGUGGUACAGAGAGUUUUAUUCCAUGCUCUGAGAUGACCUAAAUGGGAAGGAGAUCCAAAAAAGAGUGGAUAUAUGUAUACGUGUUGCUGUACAGCAGAAAAUAACACAGCCUUGUGAAGCAACUAUACUCCAAUAAAAAUUUUAAAAAAUAAAUAAAAUACCAAGGACCCCAGCACAAACACAUUGCUAUUUUUUCAAAGGAAGCUCAUUUGAAUGACAUGAAAAAGUAAUGGCAUCUGUCUCAGGUUUCUACUUGGAGAGGAUUCAUGCAACCUCAGCAUUUUAUCUUGGGCAAUUCCCCCGAGAAGAGGCACUGGGGAAGCAAUUUGUAUCUCUUUUAACUAAGACGGGAAGCCUUGAUGUCUGUGGGUUGUCCAUUUCCAUAAGACUCCAAUCCAAUCCCACGGAAAGGUGCCAGAUCUGAAGCUUCUAUAUGCUGUUAACUGCAUGUGGUUUUUUUCCCCCGCUGGUAUUUACAUCUAAGGCAAUGCAAAGCCUCCAAUUUUACAGCCAAGUUAGGAUGCUGAGAAUAUUCCUGAGUAGAAUGUGCCUGAAAUUAAUUAAGAUAGGGAGAAAAAUCGAGCACAUCACCAGGAACAGAGGAGAUAUUAAGUUAUUUGUUGAAUGAAUGAAUGAGAAUAAUGUAUAAGAUCAUUCUGUAGUUUCACAUGUAGUCUCAUCCAGCCAGGCUUUACCAAGACAAUUCCAUGGAGAGAAAAAGGUAGGUUAAGAAAGCAAUGCCAAGAGCAGUCACUCNNNNNNNNNNNNNNNNNNNNNNNNNNNNNNNNNNNNNNNNNNNNNNNNNNNNNNNNNNNNNNNNNNNNNNNNNNNNNNNNNNNNNNNNNNNNNNNNNNNCUCAUCCAGCCAGGCUUUACCAAGACAAUUCCAUGGAGGGAAAAAGGUAGGUUAAGAAAGCAAUGCCAAGAGCAGUCACUCAGUACAACAAGGACACUGCAGUUACCGUUUGAUGGAGUCCUUAAAUGGGAUUUUUUGUUUGUUUGUCACUUUGGCACAAUUUGGUGGCUACAGGACCUUUCUGGCCCCUGAAAUAUCACCAUCAGAAAAGUCCAGGAUUGGACUCAGCCAGCACAAAGACAGAAGCAGCUGAAUCAGUGGGUGGUGGCGCCCAGGGAAAGUGUGAGUAUUGAAAGAGUCGGUGAUCUCUGAACAUCCCCAGCAGUUCAACAGUGCUCUUUUGUGCCGUUUAACCCUCAAUAACCCACCUGGCAGUUCUUUUUAUCUCUUUGUUUUUGGCUGCACUGGAUCUUCGUUGUGAUGCGCAGGCUUCUCGGUGUAGCAGGUCCUCUUGUGGCAGAACACGGGCUCUGGAGCUGGCGAGCCUCAGGAGUCAAGGCGCAUGGGUUUAGCUGCUCUGCAGCAUGUGGGAUCUUCCUGAAGCAGGGAUUGAACCCAUGUCCCCUGCAUUGGCAGGCAAAGUCUUAACCAAUGGGCCACCAGGGAAGUCCCUCGCCUGACAGUGUAAGCAGUAUAAUGUAUUGAGGGAAACACAGAUGUUAGUCAGAAGGUUCUGUUUCCUGGACUCCAUCAAGCCUUGAGUUCCUCACUAAUAAAUGAGGGACUAUGACACCUAUCUUGUAGGAUGAGUACGAUGACCACAUGUUCUAAUUUCUGUAAAGUCACGUAUCUGUGGACUGCCACACAGGAAGGCAAACAAACAUUAGUAGCCUGUCCUUAUAUUUAAGCCAGCGUAUAAGAUCCUUGCAGGCAGAAAGCUGGCAGAGAACCUUGCAUAUGAGAUUUUAUGAAUAUUUAUUGAAUGAGUGAACGCAUGANNNNNNNNNNNNNNNNNNNNNNNNNNNNNNNNNNNNNNNNNNNNNNNNNNNNNNNNNNNNNNNNNNNNNNNNNNNNNNNNNNNNNNNNNNNNNNNNNNNAUGAGAUUUUAUGAAUAUUUAUUGAAUGAGUGAACGCAUGAAUAACCAUGGGAUGAAAUAGCAUAUUGAUCAGGGUAACUCCCGCAGCAGAAACAAAUAUAGUCCAGUGGCUUAUCAUAAUGUGGUAUUGCUUACUCACCUGAGAGCCCAGCUGGGGUGUUCCAAUCAGCAGAUGGUUUCCUUUCCCAUGCUGAUUCCUGGACCUGGGCUCUGUAUGGCUGUUGUGUCUUGGGUCUUGAUGUCUUUGAAAAUCAGCUCCAACUGCUUCUUAACCUCAGAAUUGGAAGGGAAAAGGAUACUCACCACUCUCACUCACAUUGUAUGGCCAUCCCUGGAUGCAAGCAGGGCUGGAGGACACAAUCUCUCCUUAGCCAGCUGCCUUCCAACCGCCCACGAGGGAAGAGGGAUCCAACUGUUACUGCCAAAAUCAUUUAAACAAACAAGGAGAACCAGAGAGAGAUGGACACAUGGCAGUGUUUUGAAUAGAAGUUAGUUCUGUAACAUGCUUUUUUU